rnacentral:rRNA from 1 species
AGCCAACCUACCCUAUGGACGGGGAUAACCUCGGGAAACUGAGGAUAAACCCCGAUAGAUCAUUAUGCCUGGAACGGUUUAUGGUCCAAACGAUUCGUCGCCGUAGGAUGGACUGCGGCCUAUCAGCUUGUUGGCGAGGUAAUGGCCCACCAAGGCUAUUACAGGUACGGGCUCUGAGAGGAGAAGCCCGGAGAUGGGUACUGAGACACGGACCCAGGCCCUAUGGGGCGCAGCAGGCGAGGAAACUUUGCAAUGUGCGAAAGCACGACAAGGUUAAUCCGAGUGGUUCCUGCUAAAGGAAUCUUUUGUUAGUCAUAAUACCACUAUCGAAUAAGGGGUGGGCAAGUUCUGGUGUCAGCCGCCGCGGUAAAACCAGCACCUCAAGUGGUCAGGAGGAUUAUUGGGCCUAAAGCAUCCGUAGCCGGCUCUGUAAGUUUUCGGUUAAAUCUGUACGCUCAACGUACAGGCUGCCGGGAAUACUGCAGAGCUAGGGAGUGGGAGAGGUAGACGGUACUCGGUAGGAAGGGGUAAAAUCCUUUGAUCUAUUGAUGACCACCUGUGGCGAAGGCGGUCUACCAGAACACGUCCGACGGUGAGGGAUGAAAGCUGGGGGAGCAAACCGGAUUAGAUACCCGGGUAGUCCCAGCUGUAAACUAUGCAAACUCAGUGAUGCCCUGGCUUGUGGCCAGUGCAGUGCCGCAGGGAAGCCGUUAAGUUUGCCGCCUGGGAAGUACGUACGCAAGUAUGAAACUUAAAGGAAUUGGCGGGGGAGCACCACAAGGGGUGAAGCCUGCGGUUC